rnacentral:rRNA from 1 species
GACGAACGCUGGCGGCGUGCUUAACACAUGCAAGUCGAACGGAAAGGCCCUGCUUUUGUGGGGUGCUCGAGUGGCGAACGGGUGAGUAACACGUGAGUAACCUGCCCUUGACUUUGGGAUAACUUCAGGAAACUGGGGCUAAUACCGGAUAGGAGCUCCUGCUGCAUGGUGGGGGUUGGAAAGUUUCGGCGGUUGGGGAUGGACUCGCGGCUUAUCAGCUUGUUGGUGGGGUAGUGGCUUACCAAGGCUUUGACGGGUAGCCGGCCUGAGAGGGUGACCGGCCACAUUGGGACUGAGAUACGGCCCAGACUCCUACGGGAGGCAGCAGUGAGGAAUAUUGCACAAUGGGCGGAAGCCUGAUGCAGCAACGCCGCGUGCGGUAUGACGGCCUUCGGGUUGUAAACCGCUUUCGCCUGUGACGAAGCGUGAGUGACGGUAAUGGGUAAAGAAGCACCGGCUAACUACGUG